CCGAGUUGUACCAACUCCCAAACCCCUGUGAACAUACCGCACGUUGCUUCGGCGGACCGCCCCGGCGCCCGAGCCCCCCAGGGGGCGACGGCCCGGAGCCAGGCGCCCGCCGGGGGACCCAAACCCUUGCCUUCGCCCUCGGCGGAAUCUCCUUCUGAGUAGAGAAAACAAACGAAUCA
rnacentral:misc_RNA from 1 species